GGUUGAAUUGGGGGAGUUCUUGGUAGCAAAGAAGAGAAACUCACUGUGGACAAACUAAGCAGAAGGGGAGUUCAUUGGAACUCCACUUAAGAGAUCCACCAGGUUUGGAAAUGAAUGGUGAUUAAGAAAAGUUGGAUAGAAUCAGCCAGAGAGAACCUGGCUAAGGCAGUGGUGUAACCACCCCUAUCAAACCCUGGAGCUUCCUGGACCAGAAUGCGAAUGAAUUCUCCAGGGACCUCCGGUCCAGGUGCAGAGUCUCUGGGAGAAGUUCGCAGUUAAUUGAGCUUGGACCAUGUGUCCACCCCUUGCUGCCUUGGUUUUCUUUAGCAAGGACUGGCCUUCUGGGCCCCUGUUGUGUCAAGACUCCCACCAAGACUUACAGUAUGGGGGGAAACGAAAAACUCUGUAAGGGAUCUGGGUGGAUAGUAAAAAAAAUAGUAAUUGUCCACUCUGUACCUCACUCCCCCAUGUAGAACUACUGCGCUGUGACCACAGCUUACUGCCUGUCUUUCCACUGUACUAAGCAGAGAGGGCCAAGAUUGGGAGUGUCUUUCUCAUUCACUGCUCUAUUCCCAGUGCCUAGCACAGUAUUGGGCACAUAUCAGAGAUCAAUAAAUAGCUUUCUUUUUUUUGCUUAAAA